rnacentral:lncRNA from 1 species
AUAAAAUUAGGUACAUACAUUGGUGAUAGAAAGAUAAAUGCAACACAGUUUCUGCCCUUGAAGAGUUCCAAGACUAGUUUCAGGGACAGAAAAAGCAGAAAUCAGGCAAAACAAUGUAAAAAAAACAGGGCAGAAUGCAGGUUGCAGAGCACAGAUAAUAGGAAUUUAAGACUCCUUGGCAGACUGCUUCAUCUUUGCAACAGACUUUAUGAGGUGCCAGGCACUGGAAAGACGAGGAUGCCCCAAAACAGACACAGUGCCUGCUCUCAGGGUGUUUCCACCCUUGUGGAGGAAUCAGAUGUGGUCAAACUGAGGCGCAAGAGCAGAGUGACCUUGAGAGAAGCCGAGAGAAGUGCUUGGAAGGAACACAAUGCUGUCUGUGGAAGACAGAACAAAAGACUUCAUCGGACAGGAGCUGGGACCAGCUUCCCCGAUUGGGAAGCCUUCUCCUGAGGAGGUGAUUCUUGAGCUGAGGGGUGAGGAAAGAGGAAGCAUUAUCUGAAGGAAAGGAAGUGGGUGGAGAGCAUGACAGACAGAGGCAAUCAUGGUGCCAGGGCUCUGUGACUCUCCCCUCUACCAAAGGAGGGAUCUUGCAAAGCUGGGGUUACACAUCAAGAUGGAAUUGAAGGAAACAAUUUCAAUGCAAGGAACUGGAGAGAGAUCACAAGGUUAUAAGAUUCAUAUGACAACCGUGUCACCUAAAGCAAGCAAAACAAGCUCUUGUAUGACAGUUGGGACACCUGCUGAUGACUGGCACGUAGGCUGAAAUUUCCACUAAGGGAAAUCGCUAUAAAAAUUGAUGAGAAAUAUUAAUCUCCUUGAAAUUAUUGUUAUGGAAGUAAAACUAUAUUUGAUCUAAAGAUAUACUAAAGAAAAAGAAUGAAAUAGAAAUCUGAAGCAGUUAGGAGAAGAUAGAAGAACCAUAUGAGAGGAUAUUUGGCAUCACAUUUCUUUAUAUGUAAACAAAACUCUGUGUGGAUGAGGACAGGACAGCAUUUUUCCCACUUAUUUUGUAACUUUUUUUAGUUCUCUGAG